rnacentral:rRNA from 1 species
AGUGAACGCUGGCGGCAGGCCUAACACAUGCAAGUCGAACGGCAGCACAAGAGAGCUUGCUCUCUGGGUGGCGAGUGGCGGACGGGUGGGGAAUGCAUCGGAAUCUGCCCAUUUGUGGGGGAUAACCUCGGGAAACCGGGACUAAUACCGCAUACGACCUACGGGUGAAAGCAGGGGAUCUUCGGACCUUGCGCAGAUGGAUGAGCCGAUGCCGGAUUAGCUAGUUGGAGGGGUAAAGGCCCACCAAGGCGACGAUCCGUAGCUGGUCUGAGAGGAUGAUCAGCCACACUGGGACUGAGACACGGCCCAGACUCCUACGGGAGGCAGCAGUGGGGAAUAUUGGACAAUGGGCGCAAGCCUGAUCCAGCCAUGCCGCGUGUGUGAAGAAGGCCUUCGGGUUGUAAAGCACUUUUGUUGGGAAAGAAAAGCAGCCGGUUAAUACCCGGUUGUCAUGACGGUACCCAAAGAAUAAGCACCGGCUAACUUCGUG